rnacentral:rRNA from 1 species
UACGUAGGUGACAAGCGUUGUCCGGAUUUACUGGGCGUAAAGAGCGUGUAGGCGGCCAAACAGGUCCGUUGUGAAAACUGGAGGCUCAACCUCCAGCUGUCGACGGAAACCGUAUGGCUAGAGUCGUGGAAGAGGCGAGUGGAAUUCCCGGUGUAGCGGUGAAAUGCGCAGAUAUCGGGAGGAACACCAAUGGCGAAGGCAGCUCGCUGGGACGUGACUGACGCUGAGACGCGAAAGCGUGGGGAGCAAACAGG